rnacentral:rRNA from 1 species
GACGAACGCUGGCGGCGUGCCUAAUACAUGCAAGUAGAACGCUGAAGGAGGAGCUUGCUUCUCUGGAUGAGUUGCGAACGGGUGAGUAACGCGUAGGUAACCUGCCUGGUAGCGGGGGAUAACUAUUGGAAACGAUAGCUAAUACCGCAUAAUAGCAGUUGUUGCAUGACAACUGUUUGAAAGGUGCAAUUGCACCACUACCAGAUGGACCUGCGUUGUAUUAGCUAGUUGGUGGGGUAACGGCUCACCAAGGCGACGAUACAUAGCCGACCUGAGAGGGUGAGCGGCCACACUGGGACUGAGACACGGCCCAGACUCCUACGGGAGGCAGCAGUAGGGAAUCUUCGGCAAUGGACGGAAGUCUGACCGAGCAACGCCGCGUGAGUAAAGAAGGUUUUCGGAUCGUAAAGCUCUGUUGUAAGAGAAGAACGAGUGUGAGAGUGGAAAGUUCACACUGUGACGGUAUCUUACCAGAAAGGGACGGCUAACUACGUG